GAGGAGAGAGAUGAGCGGCGGGAGUCUGGGUGAGAGCGUCAACAAUUUAAGGUUUUAGUUUUUUUUUUUAAUUUCAUAUAUUAAAAUAAACAGUUAAACGGAUAUCAAUUUAUAACCGCGGAUAAUACCCACAAUCACUCUUUAAAUUUCACUAGUAAACGGUUAUAUCCAUAAUCCAUAACCGUUUAGAUAAACGGUUACCCAUGACCAUAACUGCGAAUUUUAAAUAGACGGAUAACUACGGUUACCCAUAACCGUGGGUGUUUUGCCCAUCCUUAAGUCUAGGUACAAUUUCUUAAUUUUUAAACGUUUAAGAAUUAAUCGAAGCAAUAACCAACAGCCUAACGUCUAGCUGGAUUUUUUUAGAACAGAACAAAUCACAAGAUAAGUCUUGCUUCACUCUCCAUUUCCCAUACAUCUUGCUAACUCAUGCUAUCUUUUUAUAGAUAUAAUAUUCCAGUGAAACAUCAUGGCAUUUUUCUUUCAGACGAAACAGUUUUUUGUCGACUCGUGGUUUUCUAAGAAAAUUUCACCGACUGACUAAUUGGCAACUUCAUAUACUUUCUGAUAAAUGAUAGUGAAAAUGAACAUGAUCUCAAUUAAAGAUCUACUACACAAAAUACAAAAUGCUGUACUAAUUGAAAACCAAAGAUUAAUUGCCUUCUGCCUUUUCUCCAAUAAGCUAGUAAAUGCUGGAGUGUACGUAUACUUGUAAGAUAUGAACAUGUCAUAUACAACACCAUUUUGUCUUCUCCAGUUGCUCAACGUAGAAAUUAGUUUAUGUGCAGACGUCUUUGCUUCAAAUAUAAUAGCUGAUAAGAACGUUCUCCUCAAUAGAAGAUAUCCAACACGAUAAGGAAUUAGAUUGGAACUAGAAGUAUUAUUCACCUGUUAGAUUUGAAAAUCUAUCACACACGAGAGAGCGUGUGAGAAUGAAUCCUACAUUAAUGAGAGGAGGGACCUGGCAUGUGCAUAUCAAUAUUUGGGCUAGUUCCCAUAUUACCAAUUGAUUUUAUGAUGGAAACCCAACUUUCUUCAAAUUUAACCCUUUGCCCACCAAGGUUUUCUAACUUCUCUCUGCUAAAUUACUAAAUUUUUCUUUUUAAUUUUAUACAAUUCUGUCUAUAUAACUUAAAUUUGAGAUGAAGAAGUUGAAAGUGAUUUUAUACAAUUCCGGCUGUAUAAACUAAAUUUGAGAUGAAGAAGAUGAGAGUAUUUAUGUGGAUGCUGAGCUGUAGAGGCGUCAUUUUGUUGUCUAAAGAUUGACGUGAGGAAAAAAAUGAUAUAUUUUCUUGAACAAAAAGAUGAAAUUGUUAAUUUUCGAAAUGUUCUGAUACUGCUGAAACUUCUGAGAUUUCCAAAUCCAAACAGACUAAAAAUUCCAAAAUUUUGGAAUGGGUAAUGUGAAAUAAGUGAAUGCAACAGUCUUCUAUAAUUUUUCAAGAUCAAAAUAAGCAAGUUACAACUACUUACUGUUGGGAAAGUUGAUAAUUUAUUUAUUUCUUUUUGGUAUUUUACAUCUUAGUGUUGUGUUUAUUAGUAGUUCUCUCCCUAUCAAAGAGAAGCUGCCAGCAAGAAGUGGGGAGAGUGGGAUAGCCAACUCUCCUCCAACAGUUAUCCUGAAUUCAAAUUUUAGGUCUUCUAAUUUUUCCACAGCUCCAUUUAUUAUUUAAUGCCACAUGAUAAAGUGCCCAACUUACACAAAAUGAAUGAUACUUAGCAGAGCCGGCUUUUAAGGGGUGUGACCGGUGAGAUCAAAUCUUCUGCCAGAGGGACUAGGGCCGGCGGCAGAGAGAGAGAGAGGAGAGAGAUGUGUGUUUGUAGAAUUGUAGGGGAAUGUGUGUGUUGUUAUCCCUCCUACA
rnacentral:lncRNA from 1 species